AAAAUUUGAAUUUCAGGUAAACAAAUAAUUUUUAUUAUAAGCAUGUCACAUGUAAUAUUUGGGACAUACUUAUAAUAAAGAAUUAUCCCUUGUUUAUCUGAAAUUCAAAUUUAACUCAGCAUCCUGUGUUUU
rnacentral:miRNA from 1 species